CAGAAUAGAGACAUUCUUCUGCACAGGAUGCUGUUAUUUGUGUGCAGUCUAGAAUUGCAGAGGUUGGAUUUGAAGCCGGUGCUGCAAUUGUUGCGGGACUUUUAGUACCCUCACAACUGAUAUGCUGUCUGUUGGGUGAAGGUGGUAGUAUUAUUGCUGAACUGAGAAGACCUGGUAUACGUACAUUUGCAAAGGAGCAGGUUCCAAAAUGUGACGCCCAAAACGAUGAACUUAUGAAGGUUAUCGGGAGCUUGCAAUCUGUUCAAGAUGCUUUAUUUCAAAUUACCAGUAGGCUUCAGGAGACUUGCUUCCCAACGAAAUUAAUCCAAAGAUUGGUGCGUGGUCCAGUGGCGGUUUGAAUGUCCACACUUCGAGACAUGCCAGAGAAUGAUUCAACUGGAUGCUGUGAGGACCAAUGGAGAAUGGAUUGUUUACUCUCCAUCCCAGGCUGCUGUGUCCAAGGACAGGGCACACAGUCUAGCAGUAGCAGUGGGGGUUAAAGGACUAAGACCACCUGGAACCCUGUAGAGUCUUUCAUGCAGCGUGCCUAGUUGCAAUACUGGAAGCCUAUGCACUCUAUGAUGAUGAGAUUGGGUAUGAGCGACCUUCUGUCGCCUCUGGCUGCCAUUAUAGAAAAUGAUUAUGAGGCUUUUUGGUGCUCUGCGGGAUUCAUGAAAAAAAGGCAGGCACAACGUUAGGCUCAACAAAGUCGGAAUUCGAAGGCAGUCAAACACUGUUGCGAAGAUCAAAGACCCCCCCAUGUCUAGUGAAGAUGCAGGCUAGAGAGGAUGGUGGUAGUUCUUUUAUAUUUGAGCAAGCAGUAUGUCUGUGGGAGGUGAUGUGGGCACCAGGCAGAUGAAACUGGGAGUAACUCGGCCUGGGGGAGAAUAAUAAAGCAAAAGGCACGGAUGCAGCUUGUAUACUGGGCUUAUGACAUCACUGGGCUUAUGACAUCAACUAAUCCCAAAACAAGUGUUUUAUUAGACCAAAAAUUAAAAUUAAAAAGAAAAUUGAUUACAUCAAAGUUAAGAGCAUAAAAAAAAAUAUGCAACUGGGCCUUAUGACAUCCAACUGAUUGCCCGCUAGUGAUGAUGAACUUGGAAACUUCUUCUGUCAUCACCGUCAUCAAAGUUAAGUGCAUAACUUUGUGCGUCAUACGUUGUAUACAUCCGUUUACUGUUAGUCCAUAUUCCGUUGCUGUUGCAGAAACUUCCAAUGUUCGGAAUGAAUGUUUUUUUCCA